rnacentral:rRNA from 1 species
CGAAAGGAACGCUAAUACCGCAUACGUCCUACGGGAGAAAGCAGGGGACCUUCGGGCCUUGCGCUAUCAGAUGAGCCUAGGUCGGAUUAGCUAGUUGGUGAGGUAAUGGCUCACCAAGGCGACGAUCCGUAACUGGUCUGAGAGGAUGAUCAGUCACACUGGAACUGAGACACGGUCCAGACUCCUACGGGAGGCAGCAGUGGGGAAUAUUGGACAAUGGGCGAAAGCCUGAUCCAGCCAUGCCGCGUGUGUGAAGAAGGUCUUCGGAUUGUAAAGCACUUUAAGUUGGGAGGAAGGGCAUUAAUCUAAUACGUUAGUGUUUUGACGUUACCGACAGAAUAAGCACCGGCUAACUUCGUGCCAGCAGCCGCGGUAAUACGAAGGGUGCAAGCGUUAAUCGGAAUUACUGGGCGUAAAGCGCGCGUAGGUGGUUUGUUAAGUUGAAUGUGAAAGCCCCGGGCUCAACCUGGGAACUGCAUCCAAAACUGGCAAGCUAGAGUAUGGCAGAGGGUGGUGGAAUUUCCUGUGUAGCGGUGAAAUGCGUAGAUAUAUGAAGGAACACCAGUGGCGAAGGCGACCACUUGGGCUAAUACUGACACUGAGGUGCGAAAGC